CCCUUAGAUGUUCUGGGCCGCACGCGCGCUACACUGAUACAUGCAACGAGUUUAUAACCUUGAUCUGACGGUCUGGGUAAUCUUCAAACUGUAUCGUGUUAGGGAUCGAUUCUUGCAAUUUUUAAUCGUAAACGAGGAAUUCCUAGUAAACGCAAGUCAUCAGCUUGCAUUGAUUACGUCCCUGCCCUUUGUACACACCGCCCGUCGACUCUACCGAUUGAAUGGUUCGGUGAAAACUUUGGACUGUGGCAUUGUCCUUCAUUGGACUUCGCCGUAGGAAAUUGUUUAAACCUCAUCAUUUAGAGGAAGGAUAAGUCGUAACA
rnacentral:rRNA from 1 species